rnacentral:rRNA from 1 species
UACGUAGGGUGCGAGCGUUAAUCGGAAUUACUGGGCGUAAAGGGUGCGCGGGCGGUCUCGUAAGCUGGGUGUGAAAGCCCCGGGCUUAACCUGGGAAUGGCAUUCAGGACUGCGAGGCUUUGAGUGUGGCAGAGGGAGGUGGAAUUCCACGUGUAGCAGUGAAAUGCGUAGAGAUGUGGAGGAACACCGAUGGCGAAGGCAGCCUCCUGGGCCAGCACUGACGCUCAUGCACGAAAGCGUGGGGAGCAAACGGG